rnacentral:rRNA from 1 species
GGGUUGUGAGGUUAAGCGACUAAGCGUACACGGUGGAUGCCCUGGCAGUCAGAGGCGAUGAAGGACGUGCUAAUCUGCGAUAAGCGUCGGUAAGGUGAUAUGAACCGUUAUAACCGGCGAUUUCCGAAUGGGGAAACCCAGUGUGAUUCGUCACACUAUCAUUAACUGAAUCCAUAGGUUAAUGAGGCGAACCGGGGGAACUGAAACAUCUAAGUACCCCGAGGAAAAGAAAUCAACCGAGAUUCCCCCAGUAGCGGCGAGCGAACGGGGAGCAGCCCAGAGCCUGAAUCAGUGUGUGUGUUAGUGGAAGCGUCUGGAAAGGCGCGCGAUACAGGGUGACAGCCCCGUACACAAAAAUGCACAUGCUGUGAGCUCGAUGAGUAGGGCGGGACACGUGGUAUCCUGUCUGAAUAUGGGGGGACCAUCCUCCAAGGCUAAAUACUCCUGACUGACCGAUAGUGAACCAGUACCGUGAGGGAAAGGCGAAAAGAACCCCGGCGAGGGGAGUGAAAAAGAACCUGAAACCGUGUACGUACAAGCAGUGGGAGCACGCUUAGGCGUGUGACUGCGUACCUUUUGUAUAAUGGGUCAGCGACUUAUAUUCUGUAGCAAGGUUAACCGAAUAGGGGAGCCGAAGGGAAACCGAGUCUUAACUGGGCGUUAAGUUGCAGGGUAUAGACCCGAAACCCGGUGAUCUAGCCAUGGGCAGGUUGAAGGUUGGGUAACACUAACUGGAGGACCGAACCGACUAAUGUUGAAAAAUUAGCGGAUGACUUGUGGCUGGGGGUGAAAGGCCAAUCAAACCGGGAGAUAGCUGGUUCUCCCCGAAAGCUAUUUAGGUAGCGCCUCGUGAAUUCAUCUCCGGGGGUAGAGCACUGUUUCGGCAAGGGGGUCAUCCCGACUUACCAACCCGAUGCAAACUGCGAAUACCGGAGAAUGUUAUCACGGGAGACACACGGCGGGUGCUAACGUCCGUCGUGAAGAGGGAAACAACCCAGACCGCCAGCUAAGGUCCCAAAGUCAUGGUUAAGUGGGAAACGAUGUGGGAAGGCCCAGACAGCCAGGAUGUUGGCUUAGAAGCAGCCAUCAUUUAAAGAAAGCGUAAUAGCUCACUGGUCGAGUCGGCCUGCGCGGAAGAUGUAACGGGGCUAAACCAUGCACCGAAGCUGCGGCAGCGACGCUGAUGCGUUGUUGGGUAGGGGAGCGUUCUGUAAGCCUGCGAAGGUGUGCUGUGAGGCAUGCUGGAGGUAUCAGAAGUGCGAAUGCUGACAUAAGUAACGAUAAAGCGGGUGAAAAGCCCGCUCGCCGGAAGACCAAGGGUUCCUGUCCAACGUUAAUCGGGGCAGGGUGAGUCGACCCCUAAGGCGAGGCCGAAAGGCGUAGUCGAUGGGAAACAGGUUAAUAUUCCUGUACUUGGUGUUACUGCGAAGGGGGGACGGAGAAGGCUAUGUUGGCCGGGCGACGGUUGUCCCGGUUUAAGCGUGUAGGCUGGUUUUCCAGGCAAAUCCGGAAAAUCAAGGCUGAGGCGUGAUGACGAGGCACUACGGUGCUGAAGCAACAAAUGCCCUGCUUCCAGGAAAAGCCUCUAAGCAUCAGGUAACAUCAAAUCGUACCCCAAACCGACACAGGUGGUCAGGUAGAGAAUACCAAGGCGCUUGAGAGAACUCGGGUGAAGGAACUAGGCAAAAUGGUGCCGUAACUUCGGGAGAAGGCACGCUGAUAUGUAGGUGAAGUCCCUCGCGGAUGGAGCUGAAAUCAGUCGAAGAUACCAGCUGGCUGCAACUGUUUAUUAAAAACACAGCACUGUGCAAACACGAAAGUGGACGUAUACGGUGUGACGCCUGCCCGGUGCCGGAAGGUUAAUUGAUGGGGUUAGCGCAAGCGAAGCUCUUGAUCGAAGCCCCGGUAAACGGCGGCCGUAACUAUAACGGUCCUAAGGUAGCGAAAUUCCUUGUCGGGUAAGUUCCGACCUGCACGAAUGGCGUAAUGAUGGCCAGGCUGUCUCCACCCGAGACUCAGUGAAAUUGAACUCGCUGUGAAGAUGCAGUGUACCCGCGGCAAGACGGAAAGACCCCGUGAACCUUUACUAUAGCUUGACACUGAACAUUGAGCCUUGAUGUGUAGGAUAGGUGGGAGGCUUUGAAGUGUGGACGCCAGUCUGCAUGGAGCCGACCUUGAAAUACCACCCUUUAAUGUUUGAUGUUCUAACGUUGACCCGUAAUCCGGGUUGCGGACAGUGUCUGGUGGGUAGUUUGACUGGGGCGGUCUCCUCCUAAAGAGUAACGGAGGAGCACGAAGGUUGGCUAAUCCUGGUCGGACAUCAGGAGGUUAGUGCAAUGGCAUAAGCCAGCUUGACUGCGAGCGUGACGGCGCGAGCAGGUGCGAAAGCAGGUCAUAGUGAUCCGGUGGUUCUGAAUGGAAGGGCCAUCGCUCAACGGAUAAAAGGUACUCCGGGGAUAACAGGCUGAUACCGCCCAAGAGUUCAUAUCGACGGCGGUGUUUGGCACCUCGAUGUCGGCUCAUCACAUCCUGGGGCUGAAGUAGGUCCCAAGGGUAUGGCUGUUCGCCAUUUAAAGUGGUACGCGAGCUGGGUUUAGAACGUCGUGAGACAGUUCGGUCCCUAUCUGCCGUGGGCGCUGGAGAACUGAGGGGGGCUGCUCCUAGUACGAGAGGACCGGAGUGGACGCAUCACUGGUGUUCGGGUUGUCAUGCCAAUGGCACUGCCCGGUAGCUAAAUGCGGAAGAGAUAAGUGCUGAAAGCAUCUAAGCACGAAACUUGCCCCGAGAUGAGUUCUCCCUGACCCUUUAAGGGUCCUGAAGGAACGUUGAAGACGACGACGUUGAUAGGCCGGGUGUGUAAGCGCAGCGAUGCGUUGAGCUAACCGGUACUAAUGAACCGUGAGGCUUAACCUUACAACGCCGAAGCUGUU